CUUGGUCAUUUAGAGGAAGUAAAAGUCGUAACAAGGUUUCCGUAGGUGAACCUGCGGAAGGAUCAUUAAAAAAAGAGAAACGUCCCGUUUUUUUUCAUAAGAAUGGGUUCUAUUCCCUUAAACCGUGUCUACAUACCUUUGUUGCUUUGGCAGGCCGCCUUCGGGCGUCGGCUCCGGCUGAUAGUGCCUGCCAGAGGACCUAAACUCUAUGUUUAGUGAUGUCUGAGUACUAUAUAAUAUUUAAAACUUUCAACAACGGAUCUCUUGGUUCUGGCAUCGAUGAAGAACGCAGCGAAAUGCGAUAAGUAAUGUGAAUUGCAGAAUUCAGUGAAUCAUCGAAUCUUUGAACGCACAUUGCGCCCCUUGGUAUUCCGAGGGGCAUGCCUGUUCGAGCGUCAUUAUAACCACUCAAGCCUGGCUUGGUAUUGGGGUUUUCGCGUGUUCGCGGCCCUUAAAAUCAGUGGCGGUGCCGUCUGGCUCUAAGCGUAGUAAUUUCUCUCGCUAUAGGGUUCCGGUGGUUACUUGCCAAAACCCCCCAUUUUUUCUAGGUUGACCUCGGAUCAGGUAGGGAUACCCGCUGAACUUAAGCAUAUCAAUAAGCGGAGGA
rnacentral:rRNA from 1 species